GACAGGAUGGCCGAGCGGUCUAAGGCGCUGCGUUCAGGUCGCAGUCUGGUUCUCCAGGCGCGGGUUCGAAUCCCACUCCUGACA
rnacentral:tRNA from 1 species